UACGUAGGGUGCAAGCGUUGUCCGGAAUUAUUGGGCGUAAAGAGCUCGUAGGUGGCCUGUCGCGUCGGCUGUGAAAACUCGGGGCUCAACUCCGAGCUUACAGUCGAUACGGGCAGGCUAGAGUUCGGCAGGGGAGACGUGGAAUUCCUGGUGUAGCGGUGAAAUGACGCAGAUAUCAGGAGGAACACCGGUGGCGAAGGCGGGUCUCUGGGCCGAUACUGACACUGAGGAGCGAAAGCGUGGGGAGCGAACAGG
rnacentral:rRNA from 1 species